rnacentral:rRNA from 1 species
GACGAACGCUGGCGGCGUGCUUAACACAUGCAAGUCGAGCGAUGAAAUCCCUUCGGGGAUGGAUUAGCGGCGGACGGGUGAGUAACACGUGGGCAACCUGCCUCAAAGUGGGGGAUAGCCUUCCGAAAGGGAGAUUAAUACCGCAUAACAUUAGUUUUUCACAUGAAGUACUAAUUAAAGGAGUAAUCCGCUUUGAGAUGGGCCCGCGGCGCAUUAGCUAGUUGGCGAGGUAACGGCUCACCAAGGCCACGAUGCGUAGCCGACCUGAGAGGGUGAUCGGCCACAUUGGAACUGAGACACGGUCCAGACUCCUACGGGAGGCAGCAGUGGGGAAUAUUGCACAGUGGGCGAAAGCCUGAUGCAGCAACGCCGCGUGAGUGAUGAAGGCCUUCGGGUUGUAAAGCUCUGUCUUUGGGGACGAUAAUGACGGUACCCAAGGAGGAAGCCACGGCUAACUACGUGCCAGCCGCCGCGGUAA